GGAGAGGUGACCGAGUGGUUGAAGGUGCUCGCCUGGAACGCGAGUGUGCGAGCAAUCGUACCGUGGGUUCGAAUCCCACCCUCUCCG
rnacentral:tRNA from 1 species